UCGUCAGCUCGUGUCGUGAGAUGUUGGGUUAAGUCCCGCAACGAGCGCAACCCUUGCUAUUAGUUGCUACGCAAGAGCACUCUAAUAGGACUGCCGUUGACAAAACGGAGGAAGGUGGGGACGACGUCAAAUCAUCAUGCCCCUUAUGACCUGGGCUACACACGUACUACAAUGGGCGUUAACAGAGGGAAGCAAAAUAGCGAUAUGGAGCGAACCCCUAAAAACGUUCUCAGUUCAGAUUGCAGGCUGCAACCCGCCUGCAUGAAGUCGGAAUUGCUAGUAAUCGCGGAUCAGCAUGCCGCGGUGAAUACGUUCCCGGGCCUUGUACACACCGCCCGUCACACCAUGGGAGCCGGUAAUACCCGAAGUCAGUAGUUCAACCGCAAGGAGAGCGCUGCCGAAGGUAGGAUUGGCGACUGGGGUGAAGUCGUAACAAGGUAGCCGUA
rnacentral:rRNA from 1 species